GAUGAACGCUGGCGGCGUGCUUAACACAUGCAAGUCGAACGAUGAAGCCCAGCUUGCUGGGUGGAUUAGUGGCGAACGGGUGAGUAACACGUGAGUAACCUGCCCUUGACUCUGGGAUAAGUCUGGGAAACUGGGUCUAAUACUGGAUAUGACUUCUCAUCGCAUGGUGGGGGGUGGAAAGAUUUAUUGGUCUUGGAUGGACUCGCGGCCUAUCAGCUUGUUGGUGGAGUAAUGGCUCACCAAGGCGGCGACGGGUAGCCGGCCUGAGAGGGUGACCGGCCACCCUGGGACUGAGACACGGACCAGACUCCUACGGGAGGCAGCAGUGGGGAAUAUUGCACAGUGGGCGCAAGCCUGAUGCAGCGACGCCGCGUGAGGGAUGACGGCCUUCGGGUUGUAAACCUCUUUCAGUAGGGAAGAAGCGGGAGUGACGGUACCUGCAGAAGAAGCGCCGGCUAACUACGUG
rnacentral:rRNA from 1 species